rnacentral:misc_RNA from 1 species
GAUGAAGAACGUAGCGAAAUGCGAUAAGUAAUGUGAAUUGCAGAAUUCAGUGAAUCAUCGAAUCUUUGAACGCACAUUGCGCCCGUCAGUAUUCUGGCGGGCAUGCCUGUUCGAGCGUCAUUACGCCCCUCAAGUCCCCUGUGGACUUGGUGUUGGGGAUCGGCGAGGCUGGUUUUCCAGCACAGCCGUCCCUUAAAUUAAUUGGCGGUCUCGCCGUGGCACUCCUCUGCGCAGUAGUAAAACACUCGCAACAGGAGCCCGGCGCGGUCCACUGCCGUAAAACCCCCCAACUUUUUAUAGUUGACCUCGAAUCAGGUAGGACUACCCGCUGAACUUAAGCAUAUCAAUAAGCGGAGGA